rnacentral:lncRNA from 1 species
UUAAAUUUUAGUCAAUUCAAUAAAUAUUUUCAACUCCGCCUCUGUACCAGGCACCAAGCUACAGACUGGAGUUCUGGCAAUGAACACUGCAGACAUGGCCGCCCUUAGCCGCAUGGAGCUUAGGGUCUGGGAGCAUUGUCAGUUUCUGAAUCCUCCAAGCCCUAAACUAUGUUCUCUCUUCAAAUUAGAGAAAAGAAAUGAGACAGCAGGCCUGCUUCUUUGAGUGUUUUUUCUUUUUUGUUUCCGUUUUCUGACAACCAUACUUCACGUCUGACAGAGGAAAUGAUUCUUUUUGACAGUGAUAAAUUUAUGAGUUUUGACUGUUUGUGAAGUUCCCUAAUUAAUUCUUUAUAGACUUCUAUUGGCAACUGCAUUUGUGUUUUGAGUUAAAAAUGGGAGUUCAGAUGAAUUACAGUUGAACAUUCUGCUCCCUUUGAAGAGCUCAUACUCCACGUUCUACGCUGUUAAUCUCUCUGCUUACCGAGCGGCACUGUUUGUCUUGCAGUGACGCACGGCUGGUGGUUACCAUGGCAUAGGAAAACAUUGCCAGCGAUGGCCCUGUCGUCACGGAACCCCUGGGCCAUCUCCCGAGCAACUUGUAUUUUCCAGGAGUCAAGAAAUAUCUACACGUCCACUGAGAUAAAAUAUUUUAGUAAAGCAGCUCUGUCUAAUCAUUCAGUCAAACAUGAGCCUCAAUGCUAA